UCCAGACUCCUACGGGAGGCAGCAGUGGGGGAUAUUGCACAAUGGGGGGAACCCUGAUGCAGCGACGCCGCGUGAGUGAAGAAGUAUUUCGGUAUGUAAAGCUCUAUCAGCAGGGAAGAAGAAAGACGGUACCUGAGUAAGAAGCCCCGGCUAACUACGUGCCAGCAGCCGCGGUAAUACGUAGGGGGCAAGCGUUAUCCGGAUUUACUGGGUGUAAAGGGAGCGUAGACGGUAUGGCAAGUCUGAAGUGAAAGCCCCGGGCUCAACCUGGGAAUUGCUUUGGAAACUGUUAAACUAGAGUGCUGGAGAGGCAGGCGGAAUUCCUAGUGUAGCGGUGAAAUGCGUAGAUAUUAGGAGGAACACCAGUGGCGAAGGCGGCUUACUGGACUGUAACUGACGUUGAGGCUCGAAAGCGUGGGGAGCAAACAGGAUUAGAUACCCGAGUA
rnacentral:rRNA from 1 species